rnacentral:rRNA from 1 species
CGCGUAGGCGGCUCAUACAGUCAGGCGUGAAAUUCCUGGGCUCAACCUGGGGACUGCGCUUGAGACGUGUGGGCUUGAGUGGGGAAGAGGGUCGUGGAAUUCCCAGUGUAGAGGUGAAAUUCGUAGAUAUUGGGAAGAACACCGGUGGCGAAGGCGGCGACCUGGUUCUUGACUGACGCUGAGGCGCGAAAGCGUGGGGAGCAAACA